AACUUGAGAGUUUGAUCCUGGCUCAGAACGAACGCUGGCGGCAUGCCUAACACAUGCAAGUCGAACGAGACCUUCGGGUCUAGUGGCGCACGGGUGCGUAACGCGUGGGAACCUGCCCUUAGGUUCGGAAUAACUCAGAGAAAUUUGAGCUAAUACCGGAUAAUGUCUUCGGACCAAAGAUUUAUCGCCUUUGGAUGGGCCCGCGUUGGAUUAGCUAGUUGGUGGGGUAAAGGCCUACCAAGGCGACGAUCCAUAGCUGGUCUGAGAGGAUGAUCAGCCACACUGGGACUGAGACACGGCCCAGACUCCUACGGGAGGCAGCAGUGGGGAAUAUUGGACAAUGGGCGAAAGCCUGAUCCAGCAAU
rnacentral:rRNA from 1 species